rnacentral:tRNA from 1 species
UCCUUCGUCUAGUGGUUAGGACUCUUGGUUUUCAUCCAAGCAAUCGUGGGUUCGAUUCCCACAGGAGUCA